rnacentral:misc_RNA from 1 species
GACGUAAACAAUUACGUCACUCACAAAAAUAAAAAUGGUCGGUUUUGUUUUUUACUGUGUUCGGUGAAGCUAAUUUUCCGUUUUUUCCUCGUUAAUUCGCUGUGUAUUCGCGUGGUUUUGGUGUCUCGGGCAAGCCGAAGGAGGAAAAUAUCGAAUUUUCUUUUACAAGUGUCUUGCAAGAAAGUCUGUGUUGUUUGUUGAGGCGGUUGAAAAAUUCAAGGUUAUUUUUCAGGGGUCAUUCUAAGUUUCAGAUCAGCAAUCAUGGCCAUGCAACAAUAUUGUCUUCGAUGGAAUAACCACCAACCCAACUUCAUAUCUGUGUUUUCUAGUCUUCUAAGUAACGAAUCUCUUGUUGAUGUCACUCUGGCUGCUGAAGGAAAGCACCUUCAAGCUCAUAAAGUUGUUUUGUCCGCUUGUAGUUCAUAUUUUCAGUCAUUGUUUACUGUAAACCCUUGCCAACAUCCCAUCGUGAUCCUGAAGGAUGUUAAAUUCAUAGAUCUAAAAAUAAUGGUAGAUUUUAUGUACUACGGCGAGGUGAAUGUGUCACAAGAACAGCUUCCAUACAUACUCAAAACAGCAGAAAUGUUGAAAAUAAAAGGUCUAGCCGAAAUUCCAAUGGAACAAACUAUUAACAAGACAACCAGUAUGGACAAAACUGAACUUCUAACUGCACAAGAUUCAAACUGGAGCUCGGAUGGAAUGCCUUUGCAAACAUCAACUCCUUCACCCUGUAGUCCCGGCAGCAGGAGAAAAAGGUUAAGAAAGUCUUCAUCGGGUUCAGGCUCAGGAGAAAGACAGGAGCCUGUAAUAGAACCACCACAGAAUGAACUGAUUUUAAGUCAAAACAUUCUUAGUUCUGUUAUAAAGUCUGAUCCAGGAGGGUACCCAGAUAACAGUGUUACACAGAAAAGCAGGGAUUCUACAGACUUGCAAAGAGGAGGUUCACAUGAAAGUGUGGAGGGAGAUACAUUGCAUCAAAUAACAUUGCAAGUUCCUCAGCAUCAACAACAUCAACAAGAUGUUGCUUUGCAACACAGUAUAGAAAGUCAAUCAACGUCAUCAGAGAUUCCAGGUACUUCUAGUAAUGUUCAACAUCAACCAUCUCAGCCUAUUACAGACAAAGGUACCACCGUGGAACAGAUCAUGCAACAGAACCAGCCCCCGAUGGGUACCAAAAGGGGGCGAUUUCUGAUGCGGCAACCCCGUAUCAAACGGGAGAGCGAUUCCAGCCAGCCCUCCGACUCAGAGGCACCGUCCCUGCACUACCUGAGCGUACCGUCUUCCGGGAGGAUGGAACGACAGCAUUCUGAUCCCUUGCCAGCGUCGCUAUCGCCGCCCCCUGGGAAUCUGCUGGCCAUACCGGGGGCGGUACUGGUCAAGCAGCACUCGCAUCCGCUGUUGCCCAGUCAGAUACAACAGCCUCUAUCACCACCGCUCAAUAUCCAUCUGAGUCGCCAUAGCGAUACAGAUCCAGCCGAAAGAGCUAUCAGUCCGGUGGUGGUGGUCAGCGCAAGCGCUCAAGCCUCCUACCCUGACCUCUCCAGGUCAGACGUAGCCGAGGUAGCACCGACGCAGAUCCUCAGGGUGAGGACAGAUGAACUGAAAAGAAGUGCAUCAUCGCCCCAGAGUAGUACGCGUUCUAGUCAUUGUCCAGUGAUCAGGCCCGGACCUGCACUAGGCUGUAACUAUUGUUGGAACACUGUGGACACUCACGGGAGGAUACUGAGGAGGAAGACGAAGUACCACUGUCCGGAGUGUCAGACGAACUUGUGCAUAGUGCCCUGCUUUCAGGAGUACCACGAAAGACACAGUUAGGAAAUUUACUAAUGAAACGUCAAAACAAAUAAUCUUGUGAUUCACAAAGAAACAAAUCGGGUAAAAAUAGGGCAAAAAUGUUUGAUUUUGGCGAUACUUUGGCCCUUUUAAUAAUCUUAACUCUAACAGCUGUAGGAAUUUUAGCAUGUCUAGGUGUAUACGCCAGGAGAAGGUCCUAUAUGCAGUCUAUAUAGUAUUGCAAAAGCUGGUGCCACCUAAUACAGAAUUUAAGACAGCCCUACUAUGUAAUUUACUACUGUAGUUUAAGAGAUAUUGGUAUUUUUAAUAAUAAAAAUAAAAUGAGAAAAUAAUGGAA